UACGUAGGGUGCAAGCGUUGUCCGGAAUUAUUGGGCGUAAAGAGCUCGUAGGCGGUCUGUCGCGUCUGCUGUGAAAUCUCAGGGCUUAACCCUGAGCUUGCAGUGGGUACGGGCAGACUAGAGUGCGGUAGGGGAGACUGGAAUUCCUGGUGUAGCGGUGAAAUGCGCAGAUAUCAGGAGGAACACCGGUGGCGAAGGCGGGUCUCUGGGCCGUAACUGACGCUGAGGAGCGAAAGCAUGGGGAGCGAACAGG
rnacentral:rRNA from 1 species